CAAUAGCGUAUAUUUAAGUUGCUGCAGUUAAAAAGCUCGUAGUUGGAUUUCGGGUGGGAAUGGCCGGUCCGCCGUUUCGGUGUGCACUUGCUACGCCCACCUUGCUGCCGGGGACGUGCUCUUGAGUUCACGCUCGGGACACGGAGUCGGCGAGGUUACUUUGAGUAAAUUAGAGUGUUCAAAGCAGGCCUACGCUCGGAAUACAUUAGAAUGGAAUAACACGAUAGGACUCUGGCCUAUCUUGUUGGUCUGUAGGACCGGAGUAAUGAUUAAGAGGGACAGUCGGGGGCAUUCGUAUUUCAUUGUCAGAGGUGAAAUUCUUGGAUUUAUGAAAGACGAACUACUGCGAAAGCAUUUGCCAAGGAUGUUUUCAUUAA
rnacentral:rRNA from 1 species